GGGCUGAGGGGCUGAGAUACCACUGGCCCCGUUAAAAACUAGUGAUGCGGUUUGUGAUUUACAGUCACGCGAUUUCCACGUUGACAUAACCAAGGACUAUAAUAUUUGCUAGUUUUAAGCAACUAGGUGAGGACCUAACUCAAACAAGAGAAGUCCCCAGUUGUUGCUCCAUCCCUUGAAAGUGUUCAAGACCAGACUGGAUGGGGUUCUGAGCUGCUCCGAGACUUGCAACUGGAUGAUCUCUAAGUUCUCUUCCAACCCAAACCAUUCUGUGAUUCUUUCCUCACCUCGUUUCACUGUCUCACCGGGACAGCCCCUGGGAAAGACACUUCCCGACUCAAGGUCGAGUUAAUUUUUUCUCCACGGGCUGUUUUCCUCGUGGGGCUGCUGGCCAACAGGGGCUGAGGUGCCUCAGGGCUGCCUGUCAGACGUGGGUGAUGUCAUGGUCUGGCGCCUUGUGAAGCACAGCCAUUCCCUGCUGUUUGCUGCAGGUGACUCAGCAGGACUGUGUCACUUCAUCAGGUCUGUGUCACUGCCACUACACGGGAGUUUUCUCUUUACGUUACCACGGGUCACAGUUUCAACGGGCUGUAAGCACAGAGCUGGUGCAGGCUGUGCCGUGUUUCCCCUCUGGAGCAGCAGAGGCACAGCACAGGGAACUCCGAGGUUUCUUCUUGAGCUGCUUAAUCUAAAUACACCAUGAGUCACUCCAUAUGUAUUGGCUCUGUGCAGAUCUGCACUGAGAGAAUGUAAUUCCUCCGGGACCGGAGCAUAAAGUACCCGAAACUACAGAUCGGUUUCUCUGAAACUGGAGGAUCAAUCCCACACAACUCAUUAUCGCAUUGCAACCUGAGACUGGAAAUGCCUGAGGGCGGGAGGCGUUUCUCCGAGUGAAGCUCAGUCAUCCUGCAGAGCAGGGCACCGGUCCAAGGCUGCGGAAACAGCACAACAAUAACCAACGGCUUUCUGGUUAAGAAAAACAAGAACCCUGUAACAACACAGUACUAAAGGCUGGCAAACCAGAGUUACUGCAGACUGAAGGACUGAUUGGUUUCACAUCCAAAGAAGCAGGAAAAAAAUUACUUCUGGUAACACUGAAAGGAAUAAGGAAAGUACAAGCCUGGAAAAAGGCUACACACAUUUACUGACAGAAGACAUAGUAACAAGUACUCAGAGGCUCAUGGAGAUGCUACAAGCUGUUGACUGAAUUUUAGGCCAGUUUAGACAUCACUCCUUCUGCCUUUCCAGAGCCCAUCAAUGUCUCAUUCUAGCUUCCAAGAGCCUGCGCCCAUCUCAAAAUAAAUUGGUCUCAACUUAGUGGAGAGGCUUGGACAUUGUGAAACCCAAAUGAAUGGGCAGCAGAAACUGGAGCCUUGAGAGGGAUCAGCAAAAGGAAACUCAUGCUCCUAUGAAGUGACAUUUUUACAGAGGAACCACAGGAUAGAAAGUUUAUGCCAAUGAUCCAGAAAGAAACUUCAGCAUCCAACUACUGAAUCCUAUGCAACUGCUACAUUCCAAAAGGGCAAAAUUGGAGCUGUUUGUUUAUUUUCUCUUCAGUGGGAAAACGAAGCUUUCCAGGGAGGAGCAACUGCAGCUGAAAUGAAUUCAGCAUCACAAUGGCAAAACAAGAAGUGCAUUCAUGUAGCAGCACGUUCGAGUGUGUGCGCUCGAGCCCCUCCGCAGUGUGGUUGCUAUGGUGUCUGUGGG